AGAAUCAACGCUGGCGGCGUGCCUAACACAUGCAAGUCGCACGAGAAAGGGGAGCAAUCCCUGAGUAAAGUGGCGCACGGGUGAGUAACACGUGAAUUAUCUACCUCCGAGUGGGGAAUAACUGAGAGAAAUCUUAGCUAAUACCGCAUAACACUUACGAGUCAAAGCAGCAAUGCGCUUGGAGAGGAGUUCGCGGCCGAUUAGCUAGUUGGCGGGGUAAUGGCCCACCAAGGCGAUGAUCGGUA
rnacentral:rRNA from 1 species